rnacentral:rRNA from 1 species
UUCGCAAUGCCCGAAAGGGUGACGAAGCGACGCCGCGUGCGGGAAGAAGGCCUUCGGGUUGUAAACCGCUGUCGGGAGUUAAGAAAUGUAAGGAUGUUAAUAGCAUCUUUGCUUGACUAAGGCUCCGGAGGAAGCCACGGCUAACUCUGUGCCAGCAGCCGCGGUAAUACAGAGGCGGCAAGCGUUGUUCGGAAUUAUUGGGCGUAAAGAGCACGUAGGCGGCUAUGUAAGUCGGUUGUGAAAGCCUUCCGCUCAACGGGAGAACAGCAUCCGAUACUGCAUGGCUUGAGUACGGGAGGGGAGAGUGGAACUUCUGGUGGAGCGGUGAAAUGCGUAGAUAUCAGAAGGAACGCCGGCGGCGAAAGCGGCUCUCUGGCCCAUAACUGACACUGAGUGUGCGAAAGCUAGGGGAGCAAACGGGAUUAGAUACCCCGGUAGUCCUAGCCGUAAACGAUGGGCACUAAGUAGAGGGGUUUU